UACGUAGGGUGCAAGCGUUGUCCGGAAUUAUUGGGCGUAAAGAGCUCGUAGGCGGUUUGUCGCGUCGAAUGUGAAAUCCCGGGGCUCAACCCCGGGCCUGCAUUCGAUACGGGCAGACUAGAGUUCGGUAGGGGAGUCUGGAAUUCCUGGUGUAGCGGUGAAAUGCGCAGAUAUCAGGAAGAACACCCGUGGCGAAGGCGGUUCUCUGGGACGGUACUGACGCUGAGACGCGAAAGCGUGGGGAGCGAACAGG
rnacentral:rRNA from 1 species